rnacentral:snRNA from 1 species
AGCUUUGCACAGUGGCAGUAUCGUAGCCAAUGAGGUUUAUCCGAGGCGCGAUUAUUGCUAAUUGAAAAACACUCUUAAUUCUA